rnacentral:rRNA from 1 species
ACACUUAAAACGCCCGGGUACUACGAGCCCCGCUUAAAACCCAAAGGAUUUGACGGUGUUCCACCCAACUAGAGGAGCCUGUUCUAUAAUCGACAAUCCACGAUCUACCUAACCAUUUUUUGCUACUCAGCCUGUAUACCUCCGUCGUAAGCUUAUCAUUUGAAUGAGAAAAAGUAAGCACAAGGACUAAAAGCCAAAACGUCAGGUCAAGGUGCAGCUUAUAAAAUGGAAGAAAUGAGCUACAAUUUCUAAUUUAGAACACACGAAUUACUGCAUGAAACAAAGUCAUGAAGGUGGAUUUAGCAGUAAGUAGGGAAUAGAGAGCCCUACUUAAUUUGGCCCUGGAACG